rnacentral:rRNA from 1 species
GACAGAGGAUGCAAGCGUUAUCCGGAAUGAUUUGGGCGUAAAGCGUCUGUAGGUGGCUUUUUAAGUCCGCCGUCAAAAUCCCAGGGCUCAACCCCUGGACAGGCGGUGGAAACUACCAAGCUGGAGUACGGUAGGGGCAGAGGGAAUUUCCGGUCGGAGGCGGUGAAAUGCGUAGAGAUCGGGAAAGAACACCAAAGGCGAAAGCACUUUGCUGGGCCGAAACUGACACUGAUAGACGAAAGCUAGGGGAGCAAAUGGG